GUCUUUGGAAAUAUUGGGCAGGGAGAAAGGGUGCUUUUAGAACCGAGCUGUUCAGGGUCCCAGAUCCUCUAAUGUAAUGCCAGCUGAACCCAGACAGUGACUUCCACCUCCAUGAAUGCAGGUGAUUGCAUCCUUUGAAAGCCUGUUUGCAUAGCAGACAAUGAAGCUGAGCAGAGAAAAACAAGAUGAGAGACAGAUGGAGUAGGAGACCUGAGAAGAUGGCUUGAGUCCAUGAAUUCUGGUGUUCCCUAGGCCACAUUUGCCCCCAUCCUUCCCAGACUUCUCCUAUGGAGAAUGCAGCAAGAAAAUACCAUCUUGAAGCAGAGAGCAGCGCUCAUCAGGCAUCAGUCCUUCUGGAGCCUUGAUCUUGGACCUCCCAGCUCCAAAAUAAUAAGUAAUAAAUUGUUAUUGCUUAUAAAUUA
rnacentral:lncRNA from 1 species